AACCGAGAACUCCUACGGGAGGCAGCAGUGGGGAAUUUUGGACAAUGGGGGCAACCCUGAUCCAGCAAUGCCGCGUGAGUUAAGAAGGCCUUCGGGUUGUAAAGCUCUUUUGUCAGGGAAGAAACGGUAGUAGCUAAUAUCUAUUACUAAUGACGGUACCUGAAGAAUAAGCACCGGCUAACUACGUGCCAGCAGCCGCGGUAAUACGUAGGGUGCAAGCGUUAAUCGGAAUUACUGGGCGUAAAGCGUGCGCAGGCGGUUGUGUAAGUCAGAUGUGAAAUCCCCGGGCUCAACCUGGGAAUUGCAUUUGAGACUGCACGGCUAGAGUGUGUCAGAGGGGGGUAGAAUUCCACGUGUAGCAGUGAAAUGCGUAGAGAUGUGGAGGAAUACCGAUGGCGAAGGCAGCCCCCUGGGAUAACACUGACGCUCAUGCACGAAAGCGUGGGGAGCAAACAGGAUUAGAAACCCCGGUAGUCCGACUGAGA
rnacentral:rRNA from 1 species